rnacentral:rRNA from 1 species
CGAGUGGCGGACGGGUGAGUAAUGUCUGGGAAACUGCCUGAUGGAGGGGGAGUAACUACUGGAAACGGUAGCUAAUACCGCAUAACGUCGCAAGACCAAAGAGGGGGACCUUCGGGCCUCUUGCCAUCGGAUGUGCCCAGAUGGGAUUAGCUAGUAGGUGGGGUAACGGCUCACCUAGGCGACGAUCCCUAGCUGGUCUGAGAGGAUGACCAGCCACACUGGAACUGAGACACGGUCCAGACUCCUACGGGAGGCAGCAUG